rnacentral:rRNA from 1 species
ACCCUGACGCAGCGACGCCGCGUGAGUGAGGAAGGUCUUCGGAUCGUAAAGCUCUGUCAAGAGGGAAGAAGUGCAAGGCAGCGAAUAACUGUUUUGUUUGACGGUACCUCUAAAGGAAGCACCGGCUAACUCCGUGCCAGCAGCCGCGGUAAUACGGAGGGUGCGAGCGUUGUUCGGAAUCACUGGGCGUAAAGGGCGCGCAGGCGGGCUGUCAAGUCAGAUGUGAAAUCCCACGGCUUAACUGUGGACGUGCAUUUGAAACUGGCAGUCUUGAGUACCAGAGGGGAAUGUGGAAUUCCCGGUGUAGAGGUGAAAUUCGUAGAUAUCGGGAGGAAUACCGGUGGCGAAGGCGACAUUCUGGCUGGAUACUGACGCUGAGGCGCGAAAGCGUGGGGAGCAAACAGGAUUAGAUACCCUGGUAGUCCACGCCGUAAACGAUGUGAACUAGAUGCAGGGGGUGUUGAUCCCCUCUGUGUCGCAGCUAACGCAUUAAGUUCACCGCCUGGGGAGUACGGUCGCAAGAUUAAAACUCAAAGGAAU